GUCUUUGGCAUAAAAUAUGGUAUAUAGUAUAUGUAAUGUAUUUGAUGCACAUGUGAAUACACAACAUAACUGAUGUAAUUUGUUGUGAUGAUUACAGCACAAAUAUUUUUGAAACCUCACGUAGAAUGACAACACGAGCAUAUUUGAUAAACACUUUGGAGGAUGGGCAAUGGAUUUCACAAAACGUGAUAGACUGUUGGGCGGCUAUUUUGAAUUAUGAUGAGAAAAAAAAACAAUACAGUAGGGAAAAGGCGAUUAUGGUGUUAUACGACAACUAACAGAACGCGAAGGUCGAAGUUAUUGAUAAUAUUGUGAGUAACAGCGGGUUUUACAGAAUGUCAGAAGGAACGAAAUUUAAAGAAACUGGAACGCCAUGUAAAGUGGUUGUUGCACGCAUGGCAGCCGUAACGUUGACAAAGAAAAAAUUGGAAUGGGAAACGAGUGAUAAUUUCAACGAUUGUGGUGUGUUUGCUAUGAGGCACAUGGAGAUGUACAAAGGGAGUGAUGUCGAGUUUGAAUGCGGUUUUAGUACGCGAAAAAUAUUCAAGACAUGCAAUUGCAAAACUUGAGGAUGAAGAUUGCAACAAAACUGAUAUUAUCAGAGGCAAACAGAGGCAAACGUGUACAAAAGAACGGUUAUGUACCUCGCAAGCAAACGUGUACAAGAGAACGAUUAUGUACCUCGCAAGAAACGCAACACAAAGUUUGAGAGAUGAAAGAAUGCGAAAAAUGUUGGAAAAAGAGGGGGCGAAACAAGAAAAAUGUUGGAACAUUCUUAGCAAAUGGAAGAAUGGGGAUAAAGUUUGAGG